AACGGAGAAAGGUGAGCCCUAGCAAGCAAACCCUGAUACUCACUGGAGGCGAACCCUGAAGGAAUUCGGCGGCACCAAGGUCUACCUCUGCCCAAUUCAAUCCGAUUUGCCGAUUCGAAGUCACAACUCAGUUGCUAACAGGUUUACAUUGCUAUUAUUAUUAUGUUCUUAAUUUGCAUAUGGCUUCAUGAUUAGAUUUAUGAAAUAUCUUAAGCUUGGCAUGUGAACUUU
rnacentral:lncRNA from 1 species